UUUUUGAAAAAGUAAUUUUUUACUGAUAUAACGCGUUUUUUUGUUUAAGCAUGUGACAAUACACCCCGUAGCAAGCAUCGUCCCGGCGAACAUCAGCCGGAAAGACCGCCAGGCCAUAAUCGGGGGUACCUUGGAUACCCGUUUUUUAAAACUCAAACACAGAAACACCGCCUGGCAGCAAACACCGCCAGAAGAGACGCGCCAAGCCAUCGCACAUGCUGAGUCGGCGCGCACGCGUACUCGGAAGACACGCGGUCUUCCCUACUCCGACGACUCCGCCGUCAAACGCCGAAAGAUAACGAAGGCGAGCGGAGUCGCUCGGUAUAAAUAGAGCCAGCACGCCGAGAAACGGCGACUCCGUCACCAGCCAGCAUUCGGAUAACGAUCCGCUGCGCCUGUGACAUUCCGCUCUCGAAGUCGGAACAACGGUUGAAGAGUGCUUGACCGCGGUGAGAGAAUACUCCGCCUCCGACACCGAUCCUUCUUGAGCCUACAGUCGUCCGAAAACCGAGACCCGCUCAGAACCAAGAGUCUUGGUCAGCGAGCUGGUUUCCGGCUACUCGGAAGCUACCCUCCUCACCUCGCGACACCCAUCAAAACUGCGACCGCCGUGUUUGGGGUCCCGGGUUAAGUCUACUUGACAGGGUGCCGCGCGUCCAGCCCCACCUGCGACAACCCCGUCGCGGUUGCCAUACCGCGCGGGAAUUCGGCCCGCCCUAGAGACCCUAUAAUAAGAGUCGUGCCAUCAGGCGAUCUUGGCAAAAUCCUGUUUUAUAUAAGUGAAAAUUUAAAAGAAUGGGUGGAUGUGCAGCACCGUUUUGCAACAACUCUUUACAUAAAGGUUAUAUCAUGAAGAUAUUUCCUAAAGAUCCCGAACGUCAGGCUUUAUGGACACGGAACGUUCCGUGUAAGAAUUGCACAAGAAUCAACAAAAUAUUCUUGUCUUUGUGAGGUUCAUUUUACUCCAGCAAUGUGGGAUGAUUACUGUAAACGGAAAUUAAAAAAAGGAUGCAGUACCAACAAUUUUUGGUUAUUUUUUGAAAAAGCAAGUGCCAACGGAAGACACAAAAAAUGAUGACAAUACUAAUGUUAAUAAUAAUAUUAAUAAAGCAAUUAUCAAUACUAAUGAAUAUACAAAUGAAGAAGCAAAUGUUGAAAAUGCAGAAGUUGAUAUUGAAACAGAUAUAAAUAUUGACAUCUCAGAAUCAACAUCAGUAAAUAUGUCAUCAAUAACUGAAUUUCACGGAUGCGAAAAAAAAAAUGUAAAAAGUAUAAAGAACUUGUAAAGAAACAGCAACUACGUUUUAUCAUUAUGCAGAAGAAAAUGAAAGCUCUGCGAUGUACAAAUGCAAUGCUAAACAGUAAGAUUAAUAAUGAUAAAUAUAAGAAAACUAUGAAUGCAAUACUUAAUAAAGACCAAAUAAGAGCGCUGUUUUAUAAAGUUCACGUUCAAAGUUAGUUUAAUAAAACGGUUCAACGUGCUCUAAAAUUAAAAUUUGCUUGUGGGGCUGGUGGUUAUGAGAAAAUACUUCGGCAAGGGAUACCACUUCCUAGUAUAAGAACAUUGCAGCGAAAGUUGGAAAACUUUAAAUUUGAAUCUGGAAUAUCAAAUGAAAUGUUUGAAUUCCUAAAGUAUAAAACACUCUUUUUUAACAAAGAAACAGAUUUCGAAUGUGGCUUAAUAUUCGAUGAAAUGGCUAUAACAUCAAGGAAAUGUUAUAAUCCUUCAACAGGAUCAUUAGUUGGAGAUAUAACAUUUCCUGAUGAAAAAGGUAUAGCUACACAUGCUCUUGUUUUCAUGCUCGUUGGAAUUUGUAAUAGAUGGAAACAUAUAGUGGGUUAUUAUUUUACAAGAAAUAGUUUUAAUAGAAAUACUUUUAAAAAAAUUAUUUUUCAGAUUAUUAAUAAGGCAGAGGAACUUGGUUUCCAUGUCAAUUUUAUUACAUCGGACAUGGGUUCCGGUAAUACCGGGUUAUGAAAAUUGUUAGAAAUUAGCACUGGUAGAUUUAGUAAAAUAAAGAAUUACAUUAUUCAUUUAUUUAAUUCUACUCAAAAUUUAUAUAUUAUUGCUGAUCCACCUCAUAUUUUAAAGAAUUUAAAACAGGCAUUACUUAGUAAUGAAAUGAUAAUCAUUUCUGAUGAUAUAGUCCAAAAAUAUAAUUUAUCUUCGGAUAAGAUAGAAUUAAGGCAUUUUAAUGAAUUGAUAAACAUUCAAGAAAAUUCUGAACUGCUUUUAACACCUAAAUUAAAGAUAGAUGACCUUAAAUGUAACAAUUUCAAUAAAAUGAAAGUGAAUAAAGCCAAACAAGUGUUUGCUCAUGACGUAAGCUGUUCAUUUGAAUUAUUAGCAUCAGAAAAUAACAAACCAGAAUAUAUCUCCACUGCAUGGUUUGUAAACAUUGUUUGUAAAUGGUUUUCUUUAAUGACAUUGAGUUAUUAUAAAAUAACAUUAGACAAAAAUAAGACAAACGUAUAUGAGGAAAAUAUUGAUUUUUUGUACGAAAUUAUUAAUAUUUUUAGUAAAUUAAAAAUAGGUAAUAGUGGAUUCAAACCUGUACAAAGAGGUCUAAUGAUAAGUAUUCAAUCCAUCAUUGAUUUAACUGAAUAUUUAAUUACAAAAAGAAACUUUCAUUAUGUCUUAACUGCAAGAUUUACACAAGAUUGUAUUGAAAAUCUUUUCUCUCAAAUUAGACAAAAGAAUGUUAUACCUCAUUCGCUCCAAUUCACCAAUGACUUAAAAUUAAUUGCCAUCUCAAUGUAUAUGACAGACAUUAAAAUUACUAAUUAUGAUAAUGACGAUCAACAGUAUCUAUCAGGAUUUCUCGAAUAUUUACAACAAAAGAAAAAAAAAAGCUGUGAGUGAUACAUGUCAAACACAAGAAACUGUUGAAAUUCCUCCCGUUAAUAAAAAUUUGAUGUCCAACUUAUCACAUCUAGAAUUAAACUGUUUGUAUAACAUAGCUGGUUAUAUUAUAAAAUCUAUUACAAAAACAUGUACAAUAUGCAAUAAAUGUAUACAAUCAGUAAAAUCGCCAAUUCCAUUGCGUUUUUCAUUUACAAAGUGUAAAUCAUGUACAAUCAAAAUGUUUUACAACACAUUCAUUAUGUUUCGUUAAUAUCAAAACAUUUAAAGUAUUUAUAAAAUUAGAACAAAUGUUAUAAACAAAUGUUAUAAAUCGAUAUUAUAGUAAGUUUUUUAAUAAUUUUCCAAACGUUAAUUGAACAGCAUUUCUAAGUGCAGAAUUAGCAAAGGUCCAGGCUAAACAUAUUUCAAAUUGUCAUAAUUUAUAUUUUCAAAAUUAUUAAAAAAUUUGCAACGUUUAGAUUAAAAAUUCAUAAUAAAAAAAGGUACUGCAUGCAAGCAAUAUGAUAGCAAAUCAAUGGCUAUGCAUACUCUAUUAUAAUGUUAGGAAAUAUUAAAUGAUACAAUAUUUAUGUUAAUCUAUAUGUUUUAAGUCAUUGGCAAU